GGCGUCUGGAAAGUUUUUCGGUCAAGGAUGGACUCGCGGCCUAUCAGCUAGUUGGUGAGGUAACGGCUCACCAAGGCGUCGACGGGUAGCCGGCCUGAGAGGGCGACCGGCCACACUGGGGCUGAGACACGGCCCAGACUCCUACGGGAGGCAGCAGUGGGGAAUAUUGCACAAUGGGCGAAAGCCUGAUGCAGCGACGCCGCGUGAGGGAUGAAGGCCUUCGGGUUGUAAACCUCUUUCAGUAGGGAAGAAGCGACUGGGUUCUCUCAGACGUGACGGUACCUGCAGAAGAAGCGCCGGCUAACUACGUGCCAGCAGCCGCGGUAAUACGUAGGGCGCAAGCGUUGUCCGGAAUUAUUGGGCGUAAAGAGCUCGUAGGCGGUUUGUCGCGUCUGCUGUGAAAACUCGAGGCUCAACCUCGGGCUUGCAGUGGGUACGGGCAGACUAGAGUGCGGUAGGGGAGACUGGAAUUCCUGGUGUAGCGGUGGAAUGCGCAGAUAUCAGGAGGAACACCGAUGGCGAAGGCAGGUCUCUGGGCCGCAACUGACGCUGAGGAGCGAAAGCGUGGGGAGCAAACAGGAUUAAGC
rnacentral:rRNA from 1 species